GUUGGGGAGACAGCCUUGGUGCGGUGCCAGCACUGCUCAGCAGCAGCCACAACACGGGUGUGUGAUCAGCACCUUGCUGGCUACCGAUACACAGCACAGCGCUGUGGGGGCUGCUAUGGGGAAAGGUAACUCCAGCCCAGUCAGACCCAUCUGCAUUUUGUAGCUGCAGUUCUGCGAAGGAGGGGACCGGCCCCUUGCAGCGGGCAGUCAGUUCUCCCCCACACGGAAGCAGCAAACAGCGUACCCUCCCAGGGGUGCUCCAUCCAGCCUGGAUGGGUGCUGCCGCGGUCCCUGCAGAGCACUGGGAUCCUCACCCUGUCCCACUGCCAGACCCCGCUUGGUGGGCUGAAGCUGGCGCUGAUGGCACGUCACGGCAGUUCAGCAGGUGGCAGGGCUUCCUCAGUGCCUGUAAUUCAACAGCUCGGUAAAACUCAGCGAGGGCGGCAGAAAACACAUCCUCAUUGCCAAUAUCUACGUGCUCCUUGCACUCUCCAAUUUGAUGUCCAAGUAGAGGAUUGCUGAGAGACUAGAAGAAAUAGGGAGUGCUCAUAGAAAAAAAACAGCAGACUUCACAGAAGCAGAAUCUAGACUUACUGCCACUGUCAAAAAGGUUUUCACAGAACGAAUGAAUUUUUCAAAGCAGAGAGAAGGAGAAGGGAUGUUAUGAGCCUGCUUUCAGUAGGGAAAUCUGAUGCAGAGUGGUGUAUUUACUCCUUUGACUUCUUUCCAAAGAAAACCAGCUGGUUCUCUCUCUGGAGUUGCGGAGCUAAUCAUUUGUGAUUGCAACAACGUGGAGAACUCCACUACGGAAAAGCCACUCAGCAAACCUUACAGGUCACACAAGAAAUGCAUCUUUGUGCUAAAAACAGAAUCCAGAUGUCAGCUGAACAUAAUCAGCAGAAACAUUUCUGUAGACACUGCUCCUAUCAGCAUAGCACUAGGUAAGUGUUCAGUAUCCCUUGCUCACGUUUUCAGCCCAAGCUUUCCCUUCCCUUCCAUGACCCGAUGACUUCUUUACGGCACCGGUCAAGUGAUCUGCGCUUCCAAAACCUGUCAAAGUCUCUCCCUCACGUGUCGUCAGAUAAGGGAUGUGCUGAACAGCCCCGUACGUCUGACUCGACUGAGCACGCUCUGGGAGCGGGGCUGGCGUUCACCACAAAGUUCUGAUGAAGCAGAGCAUGUUCACUGUUUGUAGAGCGUGUUCACUGCCUGUAUAUCAAUGUCAGACCCCAAACCGUACUAAUCUGGAAAUAAAUAAAGUGAAUGGAUAUUAAGCGUGAGUAGCAGUCACUGAAAUCACUAAAGAGUAUUUGUAACAAAAUGCAAAGGAUUUAGCAUUCCCAUUAGGGUUAAUAUCAGUUCUGUGGCUAAAAAUCCAGGCACUAAUGCUCCUAAAACUAAACCACUCUCCCAUUUUCAAUACCAUUCUAAUAAAAUCCAAAUGAAGGGAUUUAAAUGGAAGCCAUCCGCAGCGUCAAUGACGUGCUGCUGUUGGUUAUCCCAGGAUGUUUGGUAUCAACAACCAGGCAGCAGUGCUAAGUGCGUGGACAAAAUCCAAACCCCUUUUUUCAGUGCUUAACCACAGAGGAAAUACAGCCUUCUCCCUUGUGCAAGACAUGCUGAGCUAUAAGGUUGCCAAAAUAGCUUGUUAUGUGGAAGCCCUGUGCUACCAGAAGAUAAAAACAUUGAACUAACUGUUUGUAUUAGGGUCUCUAGGCCCUGUGGCAUUUUCUAUGCAAAUACACUUGGGCUUACAUGUGUAUUAAGUCAAAUCGAUGAAAUUAUCACCAUAGAAUGAGCUGAAAUGAUAGAACAUUCCCUUUAAUUUGAAAAGGAUUUGCAAUUCAGCAGUUCCAUAGAAAGCUAAUUGAAAUGCACUUAUGCUGCUGAAAAGCAGUGAUAAAUUUAUGAAAUCCACACAAUUAUUUUUAGCUGUCAAAAUACUUGAAAUCAUAAGCUGUAGAUAGAUAAUUAACCAGCUAGUUUGAUUGAAGACACGUAAUUUAAAUUUAAGGAUGAGUCCAAAAGAAUGACUACCUGAAAUACAAAAAAGGUGAGCCUGCAGAAAUAAAGAUAUAACAAUUAAAAAGUGCCUCUUGAGCAAAGUAUGAAAGCAUAUACUUAAUUCUAAGCAUAUGACUAUCCCUGCAACUUCACCAUAAAAUAACUUGCAAAAUUUUUUAGCAAGGUCUUUAGGAAGGCUUAGUAAGGUGCUGGAGGAUUUACUAGACAAAACUCUCACUGAACGAUUUAGCAAAAUUUCAGUGACAGCUUUCUCUCUCUGUGAACAUAGAUUUGCUGUUUUAAUGGAUGCCUUGUACUGCAAGGAAGAAGGGAAAGAAGAAAGGCAGGGGAAAAUAAAGAAAAAUAAGUUUAAAAUACAGUGAGCUUUUCACACGAUAUCAGGUAUAAUAUCACUAUGCACAGUCCUAAAUAGUUUAUUGGUCUUAACAAAGAGCAUAUUUUUUUCCUUACAAAGUAUAUUGACCACUAUUGUGGUGGGUUGACCUUGACUGGGUGCCAGGUGCCCACCAAGCUGCUCUACCACUCCCCUCCUCAGUAGGACAGGGUGGGAAAAAACAUAAGAUGGAAAAAAACUCGUGGGUCAAGAUAAAGGCAGUUUAAGAAAACAAAAGCAAAGGUUGAGCUUAGAAGCAAAGGAAAAAAACCCAAAAGAUUUAUUCUCUACUUCCCAUCAGCAGGUGAUGUCCAGCCACUUCUGGGGAAGCAGCGCUUCAGUACGUGUAGCAGAGACUCUGGAAGACAAACAUUGUAAAUAACAAAUUGCCCCCCUUUCUCUUCCUUUCUCUCAGCUUUUAUUGCUGAGCAGAUGUCAUACGGCAUGGAAUAUCCCUUUGGUCAGCUUGGGUCAGCUGUCCUGGCUGUGUCCCCUCCCAGGAUCUUGCCCACCCCCAGCCUACUGGUGGUGGUGUGGGAAUGUUGGGGAGACAGCCUUGGUGCGGUGCCAGCACUGCUCAGCAGCAGCCACAACACGGGUGUGUGAUCAGCACCUUGCUGGCUACCGAUACACAGCACAGCGCUGUGGGGGCUGCUACGGGGAAAGGUAACUCCACCUCAGCCUGACCCAAUUCAGCUAUCUAUGUGAUAUUUUAUAACAGCAAACCUUUCAGAUCAAAGGAAAUGUACUGAAGUGUGACAAGUAAUUUCAGUUGCCUAGAUAAGCAGAAACAUACCAGUGUUAUACUGAAGUUAUUUAACUGAAAAAAAAUAAAAUAUUGAAAGUAUAAAUGGUAUGUUCUUCCCUUUCCACAGCAACAUUUUUUUCUUUAUUUUUGUUUUUGUUUUUGUUGACAUAUUUGCUCAUACCUCUAUAUAAAAGGAAACGAAAAAGAAGAAAACAGAAUUCAUCGCCUUGCACCACUUGCUGCAUUUCUUUACUGUCUGACAACAGAAAACUAAAUGGGAAAAAAUAGAAUGUGAUAAGGUUUUCCACUGAAAUGGCUGAUGUGCUUGCACGUAUCAGAGAGUUCAAAGAAAUAGUUGCAGCAGAGAAGAAGGAAGCUUUUGGGGAGCUUUGGGAAAGCCUGAAGCAAAUAUUUGAAAGUUUUUUCUAAAAUUAGGUGGUGACAUUACUCCCCCCCAUAUAAUUUGCAUAACAGGUGCAUAAAUAUAGUACUUUCUAUGUA